GGUCGUGCUGGCGGGCGCCGAGCGCGAUCACGUUGGCGUCGUUGUGCUCGCGGGCGAGCUUCGCGGUCUCCUCGUUCCAGACCAGCGCGGCCC
rnacentral:tRNA from 1 species